UACAGAGGGUGCGAGCGUUAAUCGGAAUUACUGGGCGUAAAGGGCGCGUAGGCGGUCUUGUAAGUUGGAUGUGAAAUCCCUGGGCUUAACCUGGGAACUGCAUUCAAAACUGCUUGACUAGAGUUUGGUAGAGAGAAGUGGAAUUCUCGGAGUAGCGGUAAAAUGCGUAGAUCUCGAGAGGAACACCGAUGGCGAAGGCAGCUUCUUGGUCCAUUUCUGACGUUGAGGCACGAAAGCGUGGGGAGCAAACAGG
rnacentral:rRNA from 1 species